GUGCAGCAGUCGCGAAAACUCUGCAAUACGCGAAAGCGUGACAGGGCUACCCCGAGUGUCGUCCGCUGAGGACGACUUUUCCACGCUGUAAGGAGGCGUGGGAAUAAGGAGAGGGCAAGUCUGGUGUCAGCCGCCGCGGUAAUACCAGCUCUCCGAGUGGUAGGGAUGAUUAUUGGGCUUAAAGCGUCCGUAGCUGGCCUCUCAAGUCUCUUGUUAAAUCCAGCGAUUCAAUCGUUGGACUGCGGGAGAUACUGUUAGGCUAGGGGGCGGGAGAGGCCGACGGUAUUCCCGGAGUAGGGGUGAAAUCUUAUAAUUCCGGGAGGACCACCAGUGGCGAAGGCUGUCGGCUAGAACGCGCUCGACGGUGAGGGACGAAAGCUGGGGGAGCGAACCGGAUUAGAUACCCCGGUAGUCC
rnacentral:rRNA from 1 species